UUAUAUUAUAUUAUAUUAUUUAAUUUCUCUCUUUGCCUAUUCGGUCUUGGGAGGUUUCCUUUUCCAAACCUUCAUUUCACCUACUCAAGAAUCAAGGUAGAUAUACUUACUCUCCCAAUCUCGCACGUCUCUGCAGAUUCUAAUCAAUUCCGGGACGAGCAAAAACAAAGGGUGAAAGAUUCGUUUUGAUUCGCGCACCAUAUUCUCAUCGCUGGUAGUGUUUCCGCAUCUUCGUGCUCAAACGCCCUAAAUUUUAUUAUUUCAGUGUUUGCAUGCUUGGUUAGUGAUUUUUCAGGUUUUAUUCUGCAAGAGAGUCAAAAAGCUAAUACUAGCUUUAAUCGGUUUGCUCAUAUGGUUUCUUAAUUUGCUUCCCCUGUUUCUUUCUUUUCUCCAGUGCUUUUCUCAAUUUUUUGGGGUCCAUUCUCAUAUUCACCCUAAUGCUUUUACUUCCAAUAAGCAAAUGAUAACAUGUUGGAUAUUAAGGCUGAAAUGCUCGGUUCUGUUUUCGUUGAGUAUAUAUAAGAUAUUCUACAACUAUAUACAUUCUCAUGUUUCUAAUAAAUGUAAGCCUUGUUAAUGUGAAUUCAAGCCAAAUCUAUUACAUGAUGUUAUUUUGCUACAUUAUGGUUUGAAGAGCAAGUGAAUUGGAUUUGUUUUUUUAGAAUUUCCUUUAACUUUGUUCUAUAAUUAAGGACUAUGAUGUAUUUGGCUAGCCUUGACCUGUGUUGAAUGUUUAUCCCUCUGUUUUGAUGCUUUGUUAAUUGGCCUUAUUUUUUCUUGGUGGGCAUGGUUGAACUCCCUCGAUUUGAAAAUCUAAUACAAUCAUAACAAGAGACAUGUUUCUUGUUAUAGUUUUGUAGGAUUUCCAAUCCUUUUAUGCUUGGAAAUCUUACUGAUAAUUUGUCGUGAGGCGUAGCCAAGGUUCUAAUUGUUAAUAUAUUCCCAUAUAAUAUUUUUUAGCUACUGCUUAGAAUAUCCCUUUUCUGGUUUUUGCUUCCAAUAUUGGAUUAAUUGUCUGUCUAGCCUUUGUAUUAGUUGUCCUGUUCUCAAUACCAAUUGGGGUAGUGGAGAGAAUAGAGGGAUGCAUGAGGAGGUUUCAUUGGGUAUGGGAUGCCGAGGUCCAUAUGGGUAACUUAGUCAAUUGGGGAGAUCUUAUAUCAGUCCAGAGGUGAUGGAGAGUUGGGUUUAAGGAAUCUAUGAUCCAAAAGUAUAUUUCUGUUAGCUAAGUGGCUUUGGUGUUUUCCUUUUGAACCUAGCUCUUAUGCACAGAGUGAUCAGCAGCAGCAGCCAUAGGGGCUGCAGGAACGAAUUGGAUGUUGUAGUAGGAUGAAUUGGAUGGAGAGUCAUCUGCCAAUCUCAUUCACUAUACUUUCCUUUGACCUGUUUGAAAGUGGGAGAUCCAAAGUGUUCUUUUGGGAAGACACCUGGAUUCAAGACCAUUCCUUGCCUUGCCAGCUGCCAUGACUUUGUCUAUUAUCAUCUUUCCAUAAUGCUCCGAUUUUUGCUUUUGCACACCAAACUGAUGGCAUAGUAGCUGGGAACUUUCAUUUUACUCAAAACCUUUCUAAUAGGGAGACUUAUGGAAUGCUAAAUCUUCUUAACUUGUUGGAUCAUUUUCGACCAAAUUCUCAAGUGGAUACCAUAAUAUGGGUUUUAGAGACCUUGGCAUUAUACACGUGCAAAUCCUUUUUUGACUGUCAAUUUGGAAUCCAAUCAUCUACCAACUUCCUCUUGCAUCUAAGGAUAUAGACAAACUAUAAUUGACUGGAAAACUAUAACCGAACUGAACUGACGAAGCAUAUAGACGAACUAAAACUGAACCAAUUUGGUUAAUAAUAGAAUAAUUGAAAAUAAAUUAAUAAAAUCUAAUGUUUUUCAAAUUUUAUAAGAAUGUUAAUUAAACAUAUAUAUUUGUAUAUCAGAUCAAUAGAUGCAUAUAUUAUUAUCAUUAUUAAUUUAAUACAUUUUUGUUAAUUUAAAAAAAGUAAAAAAAACUUGGUUUUUCAAUUGGUUCGGUUUCCAAAAUUAAGAACCGAAACCAAACCAAGCAAAAGGUCAGUUUUUCGGUUUUUAACCGAUUUAACUGAAAAAACCGACAAAUUGAUCAAAUCUCACUACUCCUUUCGGGUCUUUCAUUCUUUUCAGUUUCCACUGGUUUUUGAUCACCUCUAUUCGAGCCUUGUCAGCUGGCAUCUACAUUCCAUGCUGGAAAGGAGGAGAUACACAUUCCGAUAUUGUUCCUACAUCAUAAUAUGGCUUGGGGAUUGUGGAAAACAUUGUUUGGGUUGUUUAGAAUAGACUGGGUCACGGAGUGUUUGAUGAGUACUUGUAUUUGUAGGGGCACAUCUGCAAGGAGG
rnacentral:lncRNA from 1 species